rnacentral:lncRNA from 1 species
ACCCAGACCUCCCCCACUGCUCUGAGACUGUUUCCCCAACUCUGAGAGAUAAAACCUACUUCCUGGGGCCAUUUAAGAGCAGGUGCCUGAGCACGGAAGAUCCUCUGCGUGCCGGCCUCGUGUGGCAUUUCCAGGACGGAGGUAUGGUAAGAAGACGGGCCUGACUGUUGCUAGUGGUUGUGCUUUGGGGUUGAGCGUCCCUGACGUACCACGAGCUCUCUGACAGCAUCUCUUUGCCCACAGGGAUGUGUCUGCAGGCAUUCGUUGAAGCUUUCUUCUUCUUGGCCCAGAGGAAGUUCAAGCUGCAACCUCUCCAUGAGCAGGUGGCGUCCUUGAUUGACCUGUGUGAAUACCACCUGUCCCUGCUGGAUGAAAAACGCUUGUUGUGCCAUCGGGGCCGGUCCCACCAAAGAAACACCCCUCAGAUGAACCGCACAACCCAUUCAGCUGCGGGCAGCUCUGCACCCCGAGUGAUCGGGGCUAGCAAACUCUCUCACUCCUGACACGCUCUGUCCUGACGUCCUGGAAGAAGGUGUGCCCUCGGGGGCUGAGGACCCCAGGCUCCCCCCACCUGUCGGGAGCCACUAGGGUUCCAGCUGCAAUCACCCGUGCGUCCUCUCUGUGUCCUGUAGGGCUCUUGCCUCACACGGCCAAUCCUUGCCCACUCCCCACCCAGCACCUCGUGGUGACCUCACCCUGUUUGGGAAUCAUCAGUGGACAUAUGACAUCCAAGAUGUGACAGAUGGCACCUACUAUUCUGGGCUCCUGGGAAACACCAACUGGGGCAGUUUCUGCUGUG